AUUGAACGCUGGCGGCAGGCCUAACACAUGCAAGUCGAACGGUAACAGGAAGAAGCUUGCUUCUUUGCUGACGAGUGGCGGACGGGUGAGUAAUGUCUGGGAAACUGCCUGAUGGAGGGGGAUAACUACUGGAAACGGUAGCUAAUACCGCAUAACGUCGCAAGACCAAAAAGGGGGACCUUCGGGCCUCUUGCCAUCGGAUGUGCCCAGAUGGGAUUAGCUAGUAGGUGGGGUAACGGCUCACCUAGGCGACGAUCCCUAGCUGGUUUGAGAGGAUGACCAGCCACACUGGAACUGAGACACGGUCCAGACUCCUACGGGAGGCAGCAGUGGGGAAUAUUGCACAAUGGGCGCAAGCCUGAUGCAGCCAUGCCGCGUGUAUGAAGAAGGCCUUCGGGUUGUAAAGUACUUUCAGCGGGGAGGAAGGGAGUAAAGUUAAUACCUUUGCUCAUUGACGUUACCCGCAGAAGAAGCACCGGCUAACUCCGUG
rnacentral:rRNA from 1 species